UACGUAGGGGGCGAGCGUUGUCCGGAAUUAUUGGGCGUAAAGAGCGCGCAGGCGGCUUGGUAAGUCGGAUGUGAAAACCCGAGGCUCAACCUCGGGCGUGCAUCCGAAACUGCUCGGCUAGAGGUAGGUAGGGGAGAUCGGAAUUCCUGGUGUAGCGGUGAAAUGCGCAGAUAUCAGGAGGAACACCGAUGGCGAAGGCAGCCCCCUGGGUCGACACUGACGCUCAGGCACGAAAGCGUGGGGAGCAAACAGG
rnacentral:rRNA from 1 species